rnacentral:rRNA from 1 species
AAGGGAGAGGAAUAAGUAGAAAUCUACCCUCGGGUCGGGGAUAGCGGCGGGAAACUGCCGGUAAUACCCGAUAACGUCUUUGGACCAAAGGUGUGAUUCCGUCUGAGGAUGAGUCUACUUCCUAUUAGCUAGUUGGCGGGGUAAUGGCCCACCAAGGCGACGAUGGGUAGCAGGUGUGAGAGCAUGACCUGCCUCAUUGGGACUGAGACACUGCCCAGACACCUACGGGUGGCUGCAGUCGAGAAUCUUCGGCAAUGGACGAAAGUCUGACCGAGCGACGCCGCGUGCGGGAUGAAGGCCUUCGGGUUGUAAACCGCUGUCGUAGGGGAACAAAUGUAUGGGGGUACUCCCCUGUAUUUGAGUGAUCCUAGGAGGAAGGAGAGGCUAAGCUCGUGCCAGCAGCCGCGGUAAGACGAGCUCUCCAAACGUUAUUCGGUAUCACUGGGCUUAAAGAGUUCGUAGGCGGUCUGGUAGGUGAGGUGUGAAAUCCCCCGGCUCAACCGGGGAACUGCGCUUCAAACCGCCGGACUUGAGGGAGACAGAGGUGGGCGGAACAGAUGGUGGAGCGGUGAAAUGCGUUGA